CCUGCUCAAUGAAAUAUUAAAUAGCCGCGAUUAAUCGUGCUAAGGUAGCAUAAUAAUUUGUCUUCUAAUUAAAGAAUAGAAUAAAAGGAAAAACGAAUAAUUAACUUUAUUAACUUUUAAUAAUUAAACUAAAUUAAUUGUAAAAAUGCAAUUAUAUAAAAAAUAGACAAUAAGACCCUUAUAAAUUUUACUAUAAGUUUAGCUGGGGUGGCAAAAUUAUUAAAACUAUUAAUUUAAUAAAAUUAAAAAUUUUUUAAAAUUCUAAAUUACUAAAGGGAUAACAGAAUAAUUUUAUUUUAAAGUUCUUAUUAAAAAUAAAUAUUAUAACCUCGAUGUUGAAUUAAAAUUACUAUAUUAUGAAAAAAUAAAAAAAGUAAGUCUGUUCGACUUUUAAAAUUUUACAU
rnacentral:rRNA from 1 species